rnacentral:rRNA from 1 species
UACGUAGGGACCGAGCGUUAUCCGGAAUUACUGGGCGUAAAGGGCACGCAGGCGGUGUACCAAGUCCGAUGUGAAAGCUCCCGGCUUAACUGGGAGAGGUCGUUGGAAACUGGUAUGCUUGAGGCAAUGAGAGGGAUGUAGAAUUCCUGGUGUAGUGGUGGAAUGCGUAGAUAUCAGGAGGAAUACCAGUGGCGAAGGCGACAUCCUGGCAUUGACCUGACGCUCAUGUGCGAAAGCGUGGGGAGCGAACGGG